rnacentral:rRNA from 1 species
AGGUAAUAGAUACCCGGGUAGUCCACGCCCUAAACGAUGUAAACUCGACAUUAGCGAUAUACUGUUAGUGUCCAAAGCGAAAAAGCGUUAAAGUUUACCACCUGGGAAGUACGACCGCAAGGUUGAAACUCAAAGGAAUUGGCGGGUCGCACAAGCGGUGGAGCAUGUGGUUUAAGUUACGAUGAUACGCGAGGAACCUUACCUGGGCGUAGAAUGUAACUUGACCGAUCCUGAAAGGGGUCGUUUAUAGCAAUAUACAGGUUACAAGGUGCUGCAUGGUUGUCGUCAGCUCGUGCCGUGAGGUGUUGGGUUAAGUCCCGCAACGAGCGCAA